rnacentral:rRNA from 1 species
AUUGAACGCUGGCGGCAUGCCUUACACAUGCAAGUCGAACGGCAGCACGGGUGCUUGCACCUGGUGGCGAGUGGCGAACGGGUGAGUAAUACAUCGGAACAUGUCCUGUAGUGGGGGAUAGCCCGGCGAAAGCCGGAUUAAUACCGCAUACGAUCCACGGAUGAAGGCGGGGGACCUUCUGGCCUCGCGCUAUAGGGUUGGCCGAUGGCUGAUUAGCUAGUUGGUGGGGUAAAGGCCUACCAAGGCGACGAUCAGUAGCUGGUCUGAGAGGACGACCAGCCACACUGGGACUGAGACACGGCCCAGACUCCUACGGGAGGCAGCAGUGGGGAAUUUUGGACAAUGGGCGAAAGCCUGAUCCAGCAAUGCCGCGUGUGUGAAGAAGGCCUUCGGGUUGUAAAGCACUUUUGUCCGGAAAGAAAUCCUUGACUCUAAUACAGUCGGGGGAUGACGGUACCGGAAGAAUAAGCACCGGCUAACUACGUG